GGCCCAGCGUGCAUUGGACUGCAAAUCCGAAGCGGGGUAGGAUUACCCCUGGGCUU
rnacentral:tRNA from 1 species